rnacentral:lncRNA from 1 species
AGCCAGUCUCUCUGCUGCCGAUAGAUAGACGGAAGUCGGUCCUGCCGAUCGACCACAGAAUAUGAACUUGUCCAGCCACAUGUUCAGAAAGGUGGUUUGUUCCUUUAUGGUGACAGGCCCCUUCCCACGGUACUUCUGAAUGUACCCCGACCAACCGCCGAUAGCGCGAGUCUCCACUUUGGCACUAGGAGCGGUAUCAAAGAAGUGGGUGCUAUCGGCAGAAGAGACGUCUAGACCAGUGAGCAUAGCUACAUCGGUAAGAGUGGGAGAAACAGGGCCGUGGCCAAAGACGAAAGCAUUAAGGGUAUCUGACCAAAAAUAAGACGCAGCUAUCAACAACGACUCUUUCUUGUGCAUAUCGGCAAUAGAUAGCCUGAUGCAUUGGGCUAGCUUCCUUUCACCCCACUGGACUUCAUUUGAAUUGCUGACCCUCAAGAACCAGUCUUUCCACCCUACAGUAGGGCUGGGCCAAGAGCGAAAGGUGUCUUUCCACAGAUCUAAAGAAAAAUUUUCGGCUCUAAAGGGAAUCCUGUUGGUUUCUGCAUUGAUAAAGUCAGUUGGAUCUGGAUCCCCUAGAGGGCCGAGACAUUGGAGGUGUGGUUGAUCGGUGGGGAUGACAAUUUUGUUGGACAACUCCUAGUGUUUUGGGGAAUAAAAAAAUAAAAUACAAAGAAAAAAGAAAAGGAAGAUAUUCAGUAAGAUGAAUCGCGGAUGAGCAGGAAUACGAGAAGAAUACAGGAGAUGAGAUGGAGAUCUGACCUCAGGGACGACGAAGCCAAUGGCCAUCUUGUCGUGAAGAGAAUGUUUGAGGGCACCGGAGUUGAUGAAGAGGAGUGCUUGUCGGAGGUCUUGAAGGUUGUGAACGGCGCCGCCGCUGGAAAAGUAAAAGUAGGGAUGGUGAAAUGAUGUGAUGGAGAAGGAGUACCCGAGAAGGAACUAUUUAUAGGAUAAAACGGGCAAGGGCAAAUCUGACUUAUCUCUUUGCCGCAUCCGAGAAACCCGAGGAGGCUCAGGUAGAUAUGGUAACUGUUCGCACGGUAAUCAAGGGAUUGUGCAGGUGAUUUGACGGGGAACGGUCAUUACCUGGAGAUAUUUUACUGUGCGGGAUCUUCUGGUCGGUCCAUCGGCAGCAUACUGUAACGGUCAUAUUGCCGAUGGGCGGAUAAAGUAAGGGUAGCCAUUUGUACGAACGUCUUGAUUAGUCCAUCGGUAGAUCUUCGUAACGGUAAUAUUGCCGAUGUGCGAAUGAGAAGGAAGUGCCCGAUUCAGGAAGUUGAGGAUUUCGAGGAAUCUGCAGGAGAAUAGGAUCGGAGUUGUUUGGAUUGAGGUUGUCAGUUACCAGAUUAGGAGCAUUAAUUGCGGGAAAAGGCAUCAUUACUGUAGAAAAUUUCGGAGCAUUAAUAGUUUCAUACUCCGAAAUUGGGGGGCAUGUGUUGACACCGUUUUUGGGCACGUGUCCAGGAUGGCAGGAUGAGAUGACAGUAUGUGGUUUACAGGAUGAGUUGCCGAUGAGGAUGGUUGCUGAUAAAGGAGAGGUUGGACGUGACUAAAUUUACAGGUGAUGAUGUGUCUGUGCCGAUGACUAUGAUGAGGAGGUCUGCCGAUGACCAUGGCAACAGAGUCUGCCGAUGAUACAGAGGGAGAGUCUAGAAGCUGC